CGUCGUCCCGACGCUAGAAGCCAUCUUCUAUAAUUAAAGCAUGUGAUGUAGUAGUCUCCCGCUUACUCUCAUUUCAGAAUAAAAAGGAAACUCAAUUUCAUUUCGAGGCAUCUCUAGGUUUAGGGUUCGAGAUUUGCGACUGCGUGCCAAAAAGUUUAGAAGAUGAUCAGAGCUCUAACAUGGAUCUUAUUGUGCUUUUCGAAAUUGUGGAGGCUACGAAUUAGGGUUUGGUUCUGGUUCGCACUUCUCUCCUGUUCGUAUUCAGGUCUUUGAUCGAGCAAUUUCAACAUCCAGCCUGAGAUUUGAGCUGAUCGCUGGAUUUUGAGGAAGCUAAGAAUGGUGAUGCCUCGCUCGUCUCAGAGACGAUUACGAUGCUGGAGAGAAGAAAGGUCGAGGUCAAGUUGGAUGAGCCGCUCAUAUAAACCUAGACCUAAGCUGAUUUUCUGCUCGGGAAAUUUGAUGACAUCACCGCAGCGCUACUUAAACAACUUGUAAUUAUUUUGUCUUGAUUCCUUGUUUUCUAUGCUGCAAAGGGAGGAAUGGGCGACAGUGAAAGGAGGCUGGCCCGCAGUGCAGGACGUCCAGAUUUGAAGCAAGGAUGAAGCAAUAUCAACUAGCCUUUCUUAUUUGUAAGCCGUCAAUUGGAAAAUGAUUCCCCAAAGGAAGAGCAAACUGAGGGCUUGCUGCCUAAAAAACUAUCAAAUCCAAGGAGUAUUCCAAUGUCCAGGCGCGUCUUGGUUAAACGAGGCCAGGCCAUACCACUUCUAAUAAUCAUUUGAAAGUUUCAUUCGGAAUGUUGAUGAGCGCGUCUUGGCUAAACGAGGCCAGCCUAUACCACUUCUAAUAAUCAUUUGGAAGUUUCAUUCGGAAUGUUGAGUACUUCUAUCACUACAGUGUUUAACUGAAGUAUGAAGAUGAUCGGCCUGUGGAUGGUGAGGGGGUUCACACAACAGUUAUCGACAAACUACACCAAACCUUUGACAGUGAGCUUGGUAACAAGGAUUUUGCAUAUGACGGGGCAAAAGAGUUUGUUUUUGUAAUGCAUCACAGAAUAGAACUUCUGGCUGUGGAAGCCCAGGCGGAAAUGACAGCCCGGCCAAGAUUCACCGUAAGCAGUUGAGGCGUCCCUACCAGACAGUCCUUGAAAGUUGAGCUGAAUUUUGCUAAAGUGUCUCCAAUGCGGUCAAUUGCAAUGGCUUUAAAAGGGGUUGCUUGCUUGCCCUUCAAUCUUUUUUCAGACCAACCCUUCAAACUUCACUGCUAUGGGAGGGGCUGUCUUGGGUUAUAGAGGGCUUCACUCAAGCUCCUGAACCUACGAAGGUGGCCUAUCAAUAUUGAAUAUAGGCAAAUCAUAUGCUUAAAUGUUUUUGUGUCAAAUAACUGAAGGCUUGAAACGACCUGAAUAAGUAAGAUCUUCAAGAUUUCUGCCGCUUCAAUUAGUUUGAUCUUCACAGAGGGCUUUAUCUUCUGAGCAUGCAUUUUAACUUUUCUGUUUCUUUCAUGAUUGUAGGUUUGGCAAUAAAUAAUAAUUCUUGUUUUACAGUAACUGCCUUUGAGAUUAUGAAUCUUUGUGCAAUUCAUGUGAAAAGGGUUAUGAUUAUGCCCAGGUGCGGAUUCACCCUAUGACCGUAAGGAAAGUGGUGUUAUGUGACACCAGAUGUAUGAAAAGUCAACAAAUGUAUGAAAGUCAGCAUGCAAGCUUAUCAGAAAAAGAGAACAACUCAAACUCUUCGACAUCAUGUAUCAUCCAAAAUUGUAGUAUGAUAGUAACUGUAGCUAAAUCCAAAAGGAAAUGAAUGGGCUAGGUUACUAGGUGCUGAAAUCACAUUAGAUCAAAAAGAUACAAAAAUGCAAAAAUAAUACUGUAACAAUGUAUAAUAAGUGCAUUCA